GAUAAACGCUGGCGGCGCACAUAAGACAUGCAAGUCGAACGAAAGUCGUUAUAUUUGAGAAAGAUUGAAGAUUUAUCUGAUUGAAGUUGAUUUUAUAACAAUGGCUUUAGUGGCGGACUGGUGAGUAACGCGUGAGUAACCUGCCUAUUAGAGUGGAAUAACAGUGAGAAAUCACUGCUAAUACCGCAUAUGCCAUAAUCAUCACAUGAUGAAAGUGGGAAAGGAGUAAUCCGCUGAUAGAUGGACUCGCGUCUGAUUAGAUAGUUGGUGGGGCAAUGGCCUACCAAGUCAACGAUCAGUAGCCGGACUGAGAGGUUGAACGGCCACAUUGGGACUGAGAUACGGCCCAGACUCCUACGGGAGGCAGCAGUCGGGAAUAUUGCGCAAUGGAGGAAACUCUGACGCAGUGACGCCGCGUAUAGGAAGAAGGUUUUCGGAUUGUAAACUAUUGUCGUUGGGGAAGAUAAAAGACAGUACCCAAGGAGGAAGCUCCGGCUAACUACGUGCCAGCAGCCGCGGUAAUACGUAGGGAGCAAGCGUUAUCCGGAUUUAUU
rnacentral:rRNA from 2 species